rnacentral:misc_RNA from 1 species
UCUAAGGAACAACACGAAGACAAUUCAAUUGGUGCAGAGCGACCCGUGAGGAGUUCUCGUCUGUCGAGGACGAAAACCGAGCUCACAUCAGAUUAUAAUUGCCGCACACACCAUUGGGCCCUGACACAACACUCGAUCGAACCGAGAGGAGUCACUCCAUCGUGGUGGUGGGAUGCGGUGUUUGAAUAUUGUAUAGUGUGUGCGAGUCUCUAAAUGAACUCGCGCUCCUUACCGCCCGGAGUAUUCUUCCCACUGGGUAUCUUCUUCUUUGGAUUUUGUGAAGUAAGUAAGUGUUAAGCGUGGCAUGGCAGGAUGCCAUGACGUCGAGAGCCGAUGAAAGACGUGAGAGGCUGCUAUAUGCCUCCGAAAGAUGCCUGCCUAGCAUUGAGCCGAGGAUUUCAAAAUGAAGAACACCCGCAAGCCGAAUUCCUACUACACUGAUCCGCAGCUACUAA